rnacentral:tRNA from 2 species
AGUCAAUGAGCUUGAACAAGCAUAUGUUUUGAAAACAUAAGAUAGAAAUAAAUCUUUCUAUUGACUU